rnacentral:rRNA from 1 species
GAUGAACGCUGGCGGCGUGCCUAAUACAUGCAAGUCGAGCGAACGGACGAGAAGCUUGCUUCUCUGAUGUUAGCGGCGGACGGGUGAGUAACACGUGGAUAACCUACCUAUAAGACUGGGAUAACUUCGGGAAACCGGAGCUAAUACCGGAUAAUAUUUUGAACCGCAUGGUUCAAAAGUAAAAGACGGUCUUGCUGUCACUUAUAGAUGGAUCCGCGCUGCAUUAGCUAGUUGGUAAGGUAACGGCUUACCAAGGCAACGAUGCAUAGCCGACCUGAGAGGGUGAUCGGCCACACUGGAACUGAGACACGGUCCAGACUCCUACGGGAGGCAGCAGUAGGGAAUCUUCCGCAAUGGGCGAAAGCCUGACGGAGCAACGCCGCGUGAGUGAUGAAGGUCUUCGGAUCGUAAAACUCUGUUAUUAGGGAAGAACAUAUGUGUAAGUAACUGUGCACAUCUUGACGGUACCUAAUCAGAAAGCCACGGCUAACUACAUG